ACAUGCAAGUCGAGCGGUAGCACAGAGAGCUUGCUCUCGGGUGACGAGCGGCGGACGGGUGAGUAAUGUCUGGGAAACUGCCUGAUGGAGGGGGAUAACUACUGGAAACGGUAGCUAAUACCGCAUAACGUCGCAAGACCAAAGUGGGGGACCUUCGGGCCUCAUGCCAUCAGAUGUGCCCAGAUGGGAUUAGCUAGUAGGUGGGGUAACGGCUCACCUAGGCGACGAUCCCUAGCUGGUCUGAGAGGAUGACCAGC
rnacentral:rRNA from 1 species